AUGCCAGAGUUGUAUACCGCAAAUCGUAACAAAUCUUUUUUCUAACGGGCCUCUGAGGGUGGACGAAAUUGGAGAAUAUGACUUCUCUCAGGACUACGUUCGAAAGACUCUCUUUUUUGUUUGAGGAUUGGCGCCACAAAGGCCAGGGUGGAUCCAGAGAUAGCUGACAUGGCCGAGUGGGCUAGGAACCCUCACCUCCACCCCGCCAACCAUUUGGUUUUUGCUUGUUAAUUCCUUAGGGGCAACUGGUUAUUUACUGGGUCCCGUCUUACAAAGAGUUACAAUUGAUCCAGUCGCUCACAACUAUGGAAAUCCAACAAUGUCAAAAUUUUCUAAAAGACAUGUUUGUUCAAAAUAUGUUUUAGAUAAAAAUAUCCAUACAUUCACUGUUUUCUUGCUUCUCUUGAUUUUCAAAUGACAUUGUGCAACUUCCUACUGAACAAAAAAAAUAAUGUCAUUGAUGGAAUUUCAUAUACUUUAGGUUGAUCGGAUCAAUCGUAACUCUUUGUAAGACAGGCCCAGGUGCAUGGCUCUUGACACUGGCGUACCUAGGAUUUUCCAGAA